UCGCACGCUCGCCGUUGCUCCGCCGACCUUGGCGCCCCUCCUCCGCCGGUCCGCGCGCCCCUCUACCGCCAGCUCAGCGCCGCCGAGCCGCUCCGCCGGCCGCGCUCCACCGACCCGCGCGCCCCUCCUCCUCCAGCUCGGCGUCACGGCACUCACUCCGCGCGCUCGACGGCGCGACCCGACCCGGCCGCUGCACGCUCGCCUCGCCUCGACCUCCUGCGGAUCCACGCGCUCGGCUCGGCCAGCACCUCCCUCGCCGCCCGCGCUCAACGGCGCGCCGCCGCUGCCGGGGCAGGACGCUUCCCUUCCCUUCGACCGGCGCCCGCGCGCUCAACGGCGCGACACCGCCGCUGCUGCCAGGGCAGGACGCCUCACUGCCCUUCGCCCGGCGGCCGGCUCGAGCGCUCUCUCCCGCCGCGCUUCGCGCGCCGCUGCCUCUGCUCGGCUAGAUGCCUCCCUCCCCUUCGACCCUGCGCCGCCCUCCCAGCCAUAGCCACCUCCCCAUCAUCGAGGCACAGGUCCGGGGCGUCAGUUGAGGAGGAUGGAUCCGCGGAGGUGGUGGCCUAAUGCUCUGCCAUCCCCACAUCUCCACCCGCUCGUACUCCCGUCCCCAUGGUUCCUAUUCCUGUCGUUGGCUCCAAUCAGCAGGAUCCACGGAGGUGCUGACGGAUGCGCCGUUUGUGCAAUCCCAGCAGCCUCACGGCCUAUCUGCAUCAUCGCCGAUCCAGCCGCAAGCGCCAUCAAGGAGGUACCUUCAACUUAAUCCUCCUGGGGUCACCUUCUUCUACACCUACGAUAUCAACGACCCCUCACGAGCGAAAUCCUCCUUGUUGAGGCCCCCACGAAGCCAUGGCUGCCAGUAAGGAUGCAAAACUAGGUGGCAAUCAAGUAUUCAGGUUGGUCACAGCAGGGACAUGGCAAGAGGAAGAAAAUACACAUGAUCUAUAUUGAGCCAAAACAAUAUCUGUCAUCUAAGGUUGGUUUAGGAUGAGAAAAUACGGGUAAUUUUUUCCAAAGGUAUUUCUGCUCAUGGGGAUGGCCGCAACGCAGUAUUUCAAAACCAUAGUUCUGAUGGGUUUUUGGUCAAACAGUUUUAUCGUAUUUUGUAGUAUGCUAAUACUCUAAUUUGUUAGAAUAGUAUGCAAAGUAGUAGAGAUUUUGAUGUGAUCUGGGGCAUGAAUUGACAAUUAUUAUGCAUAUACCAUAGUUUGUUGUAGAAACAUUUUCUAUUCAACUUUUGGUUAGUGCAGCUCCUAUAUUACAAACACCAGUGACUAGGUAAUUUAUGUAGACAUCAUGGAAGCAACAAAAGCAUUAAUUUUAAAAGAGAAGUAAUUUGGUCCUCCGAUGCCUUGCAAUAAGGUCCGGCGGGUUGCUCCCAAUUUGUGAUGGAUUUAGUAUCAGCGCUGUGUAAUCUACUGCAACCUGAGGACAAGAUGUAAGUACCAGUCUAACUGAGCUUGUUUCUGAACGUACACAUACUCUGCUUAUAUUGACUUCUAGGCAGUGCAGAAUGUUGCAGCUUGCUUAAUAAUCAUUGUGUACUCUUUCAACUAUUCAAUUGAUCCUUUUUACUAUCCUCCUAGACAUUGGGUGGACCUGUAUCCUUGCAUAAAUAUAUUUCAUUUGGAGAACAAGAGUUCCACACUACCAGAAAAAUGGGCAUUCGUCCAACACGUUAGUACCGGGAUGCAUUUUUGUCCGGUACUAAUGUGUGAAAUUAGUACCAGGUAGAAAUUUUUGGUCCUCGGAGACCAUUUAGUACCGGUCAGUAACACCGAUCGGUACUAAAUGUCACAUUUUAGUACCGGUCGGUGUUACCGGCCGGUACUAAAAUGGCACGUCAAUUUAGUACCGGUCGGUAACACCGACCAGUACUAAAAUGCGAUAUUUAGUACCGGUCGGUGUCUUGGCCCAGUACUAAAUGGUCCUCCACGAGUUGGUUCAAAAGGAAAACAUCUCUCACCCAGUCACAUCUGAUGCAUAGGUGAGAUGGUAAGCAAUCAACGCGCGAGGCUGGAGGUCAUGGGUUCGAAUCCUCGCGCACGCGCAUUUACCCGAGGGUUCGUCAAUUUUUUCCUUUAUUUUUUGGGCUCAAAACCAUUUAGUGACGGUCCGUGUUACUAACUGGUACUAAAUGGACCAUUUAGUACCGGGCAUUUUGACCGGUACUGUGACAGCCCAGAUUUUUAAAAUAUUAAGCAGGAGAAAUUAAACUAAAGUUCAGUUGAAGUCUAAGUGAGAAAGUAAAAUUUUGUACAUGAAAUGACGAGUUCUUCAAAUUACAGUUUCGAAAUGUUUAAAUUAUCUUUCAAAUUGUAACAAAGAGGUUUUCAAAAUAAAUUUUAAACCGUUGCUUAAAUGGACUUUUGCCCAAAACCAAUGUUGUAGGUUUUGGAAUGACGAACAAUGUUCGUGUUCAAAGUUUUUCGAGUUGCCACACAAAAAUGGGAGAAAAAUUUGAAUUUCAAAGUGUAGAGGACAUUUUCAAAUACACUCAAGUUUCAAAUUUUAUCUUUCAAAUGAAGUCUCAAAUGAAAAAGUGCCUAAAACAAAAGUUGUAGAUCUCGAAAUUUUAAGCAAGUUUUAUAUUCAAAAGUUUUUCAUUUGACCUUUGGAAAAGGGAUAAAAAUUGAGUUUACAAACUGGAGUUUUGAACUUUGUUUUAUUUACGAAACUGCCCUCACUCCAUCUCCCUUCUCUGUUUCUCGCCGUGACGGCGUUCGCCGCCGGCGUCAGCCAUGCGCUGCGUCCUCGCGCGCGCCCCUGGCCAAACCACCUCGUGCGUCCUCAGUUUCGCUCAAAACCGCUCCCCCUGGCGCCCCUCGAGCGCGACACGCGCCCCGCCGUCCCCUGUCUGCCACGCCGCACGAGGAUGGCCAUCGCCGUGCCUCCGUGUCGAGCCAUCUCGCCACCGCUUAAGCCGUCUCCAGUCCACUCACGAGCAAAAUCAAAAUUGGCCUAUCCACUCUCGCUCCUCAAAGCUAGAGCCCGAGCUCCCCUCUCCGUUGCUCAGAGCGCUGCCGGCGCCAUAGCCGCUAGCUCGCCGCCGGAAUCCCUUCUCUGACCUCCGUGCGCCCGAACCGGGCAACCCACAAGCUCGCACACCCUCCACCGCAGCUCGCCAGCCCGUCCCUCGUCACCUAGGCCCGCUGGAACACCUCCUGCUGCCGCCAUGGGCGCCGCCGCCCCUACCUCACCGUGGAGCCUCUAGCUCCGGCCUUCCCCGGGCCAAAUCAACCCCGCAGCGAGCUUCCUCUCGCCGUGGCGCAGCUCACCGACCCCUCCGCGCCCCCGUUCCCUCGCCGGAGCAACCCUGCCGCCACGCAGCACCGCCGCCGGCGCCCGCGGCGAGCCCGCCUCCGGCUGUCCCGCGCUCAACCGAAGCCACCCCAAGGUAGCUCCUGACCUCCUCUAGAUCCUCCACCCCGGCGUCGUACCGUGGCGUGGAUUCUUGUAGUCGAGGGCGGUGGGCCUGUUCCGUAAAGCGGGAAUUGAAGGGAAAAGUCGCGUGGGCGAAGCGAGACAUCGAUCCGUGUGUGUUAGGUCUGCCUGGCUAGGUUAACAAAUUCGAUUCGAAUCGUCCGCUUCUCACGGUUUGGGACUGCUUAACCCUUUUGCCACACAGAGUAAAAAGUGAAAGAUGAUGGUGAUGAAUAUAGCUGGUUGGAUGAUGAAAGAUAAUUGUUUUCACCAUGUAUGCUAUUGGGUAGAUGCUCAUUUAGAAUGGUUAAUUGAACUAGAACCUGAAAGCUAAAACCUGAAAUUAAGGAUCUACUCUUUACUGCUUUUCGGCAAAACAAAUCCCUCUAGCCAAAAGCCUUACAUGUCUAGAUAAAGGGCUAAGUAUAUACCCUUAGUCGGGUAAGACUUGCUGAGUAUUAGUAUACUCAGUCUUACUUGUGGCUUUGUUUUUUAGGUGGUACAUUGGAGGUUAUAUUUGACGUCAUGUACGGGCUUGAUCAUGAUGUCUGGUUUCGUCGCUAGUCUAUCGUGUAUUUUCUGCUGCACUUAAACUCUGUUGUACUUUUAUAAAUUCGAACUCGGUUUGUAAUAAUAAUUCAGUUUCAUACUCUGCACAGUAAAAUUUGCGGAAUGUUGUAUUCUCUGAACUGCUUUGUCAAUCCUGUUUCAAGUGGUUUAAUCGGGAUUUUACCCGACAGCACUGCCGGGUUACUCCGUUUUAAGUGCGCGUUAACCCUUGUUGCCGUUUCGAGGAUGGUUAGCGCACUUAAGCCGGAUUAAUUUAGGUGGGACUGCCACAAGUACUAAAUGAUGUCUCGUCUAGUACCGGCCAACCGGUACCGGUCGGGAGCCGGGUACUAAAUAGGGGUUCCCGACUGGUACUAAUAGGCGUUUUUCUAGCAAUGCCAGCUAAUUAUAAAUUUUUGGUUUUGGCUUCUACUGCAUGGUAGAUGCUGGCUGGACAACGGUUGGCAGCACAUACAUGUUUUCCGGGACAUGUUAUUGAGCUUUAUGUGCUCAAGACAGGGAGACAGUCGAACAACUGAUCCUGCAUUCCUCAUCAAUCAGCGAAGAAGUCUGGUUCAGACUGCUCUGGAUGGCAGGUCAGUAUAUCCGGACACCUGUGACUAAAACCUCAUUCGCUCAGUGGUGGAUGAAGGAGAAGUGAAGGAGCUGAUUCACAUUCUUCAACGUGUCCAUACAGUCAGUGGUGGAGCUUCAUGUCAAAUUCAAAGGCAUCCAACACUUAAUUUGAGAGCAAAUCACUGAAGAUUUCCUAAAGAGAAGGUGUCAACAAGAUUUGCUCCUGAAGGAUCAAAGCAUACUCCUCAGUUCUCACCAAUCAUGGGACUUUAGUGGAAGGGGCAAUAGAGUACUGACCCUGGUCGGCUGGUUUUCAGGUCAUUGUGAUUUGUGGUCAUUAACUUCCAUGAUGCAUUUUUUUCUUUCUUUGCAUUUGUGGGCUAGAAGGAUCUUCCUUGCAGGUGCACAUCACAUAUGCAAAAUCUUAUAGGAUAUUUCCCUUUCUCAAAUUUGUGUGUUUUAGGAAUAUGAAUUAUGUAUAUGCAAAAGUUAACUUAAAGUAUAUUUGGAUGUGCCAAUCAGUUGGACCCUUGAUGAAACCAACAUUUCCUCUUGCAGGUGGAUUACUCACUCUAUUAGUCAUAUUGCUUUAUUCAAGCAUUUGUCUGAAAUAUAUAUGAUUGGAAUACUACUGUCAGAUUUUGAGGAUCCUCAUCCGUUUGUGCAUGUAGGAGCAAGAGCUUUGCUCGAAUGUGUUGAAGUGAGAAAUAUUCAUGAGGGGCCACGGCGACUUUGAUGAUGUUGCCGGUGCGAGGGCAAAAUAAAAUAGUAAUAUUUUUCAAUAAAAGAUAGAUUAAUAUUUAUGUAAAUAACUAGACAAAUUUAUGGGUAAACAUGUCAAGUUUUGGUA